rnacentral:rRNA from 1 species
GGUGAACGUUGGCGGCGUGCCUAAGGCAUGCAAGUCGUACGACGCCGGCCCUGCGGGGCCCGGCGAAGUGGCGAACGGCUGCGUAACACGUAGGCAACCUAUCCCUGGGAGGCGGAUAGCGCGCCGAAAGGCGCGGUAAUCCGCCGUACGCUCGACGGGCGAUGGCUCGUCGAGGAAAGCCCUCCAGACGGAGGGCGCCCGGGGAGGGGCCUGCGGCCUAUCAGGUAGUUGGCGGGGUAAAAGCCCACCAAGCCGAUGACGGGUAGCUGGUCUGAGAGGACGGCCGGCCAGACGGGGACUGCGACACGGCCCCGACUCCUACGGGAGGCAGCAUG